UGAGAUUUGGGGUCAGAUGCUGAGAUUUGGGGCCGAUUGGGCUGAAUUUGGGGUCAGGUGCUGAGAUUUGGGGUCGGUUUGUGAGAGUUUGGGGUCAGGGCUGGAGAUUUAGGGUCAUUUCAUGAGAGUUUGGGGUCAGAUGCUGAGAUUUGGGGCUGAUUGGGCUGAAUUUGGGGUCAGUUCAUGAGAGUUUGGGGUCAGAUGCUGAGAUUUGGGGUCAGAUGCUGAGAUUUGGGGUCAUUUCAUGAGAGUUCGGGGUCAGAUGCUGAGAUUUGGGGUCAGAUGCUGAGAUUUGGGGCCGAUUGGGCUGAAUUUGGGGUCGGGAGCUGAGAUUUGGGGCCGAUUGGGCUGAAUUUGGGGUCGGGUGCUGAGAUUUGGGG
rnacentral:lncRNA from 1 species